rnacentral:rRNA from 1 species
CCUACGGGUGGCAGCAGUGAGGAAUAUUGGUCAAUGGACGAGAGUCUGAACCAGCCAAGUAGCGUGAAGGAUGACUGCCCUAUGGGUUGUAAACUUCUUUUAUAUGGGAAUAAAACGUUCCACGUGUGGGAUUUUGUAUGUACCAUAUGAAUAAGGAUCGGCUAACUCCGUGCCAGCAGCCGCGGUAAUACGGAGGAUCCGAGCGUUAUCCGGAUUUAUUGGGUUUAAAGGGAGCGUAGGUGGAUUGUUAAGUCAGUUGUGAAAGUUUGCGGCUCAACCGUAAAAUUGCAGUUGAAACUGGCAGUCUUGAGUACAGGAGAGGUGGGCGGAAUUCGUGGUGUAGCGGUGAAAUGCGUAGAUAUCACGAAGAACUCCGAUGGCGAAGGCAGUUCACUGGACUGCAACUGACACUGAGGCUCGAAAGUGUGGGUAUCAAACAGGAUUAGAUACCCUAGUAGUC